rnacentral:rRNA from 1 species
CCUACGGGUGGCUGCAGUGAGGAAUAUUGGUCAAUGGACGAGAGUCUGAACCAGCCAAGUAGCGUGAAGGAUGACUGCCCUAUGGGUUGUAAACUUCUUUUAUCUGGGAAUAAAAUGUUCCACGUGUGGGAUUUUGUAUGUACCAUAUGAAUAAGGAUCGGCUAACUCCGUGCCAGCAGCCGCGGUAAUACGGAGGAUCCGAGCGUUAUCCGGAUUUAUUGGGUUUAAAGGGAGCGUAGGUGGAUUGUUAAGUCAGUUGUGAAAGUUUGCGGCUCAACCGUAAAAUUGCAGUUGAAACUGGCAGUCUUGAGUACAGUAGACGUGAGCGGAAUUCGUGGUGUAGCGGUGAAAUGCUUAGAUAUCACGAAGAACUCCGAUUGCGAAGGCAGUUCACUGGACUGCAACUGACACUGAGGCUCGAAAGUGUGGGUAUCAAACAGGAUUAGAUACCCCUGUAGUC